CCAGACAUUUCUACUUGAAUUUGGUUGUUGUUGCAGGACGUGCUGAGCCCUCGAGUGAGGAGGAUACAGGCAGACAGCAGGGUUAGCUGCGAGACUCAUCUAUUUCAUAUUGGCCGAGAUCGCGUCCAGGAACUGGAGGCUUUGGAAUUGGCGCUUCCGUUUUGUCCAUAGGUUAUUACUUGACCUACCUUGUUUGAUAUCGGCUUAGCUAUUAGUGUUGCUCUGAUAACCCUUUUAAAUUUGGAGAAUGCUUUUGUUUGAGUUGAUGUUUAUCAUACUGAGGUUGUGAUGGAAUUCGUACCUUCUGAAUGUAACAUAUACGCUUGAAAUGUAAAUAUUGUAAUGUGUGUUU